rnacentral:rRNA from 1 species
UUAUAAGAGACAGCAGCCGCCGCGGGAAUACGGAGGGGGCUAGCGUUGUUCGGAAUUACUGGGCGUAAAGCGCACGUAGGCGGCUUGGUAAGUUAGAGGUGAAAGCCUGGAGCUCAACUCCAGAAUUGCCUUUAAGACUGCCGAGCUAGCAGGUGAGAGAGGUAAGUGGAAUUCCGAGUGUAGAGGUGAAAUUCGUAGAUAUUCGGAAGAACACCAGUGGCGAAGGCGGCUUACUGGCUCAUACUGGACGCUGAGGUGCGAAAGCGUGGGGAGCAAACAGGAUUAGAGACCCCAGUAGUCCCUGUCUCUUAUAC